rnacentral:rRNA from 1 species
UUGACCUUGGUACAUGUAGAAUAAAAUGGGACCGG